UAAGACGAAGGUGGCGAGCGUUGUUCGGUGUCACUGGGCUUAAAGCGUGUGUAGGCGGAAAAGUAAGCGUCCUGUGAAAGCCCUCGGCUUAACCGAGGAAUUGCUCGACGAACUGCUUUUCUUGAGGCAAGCAGGGGUGCAUGGAACUCUUGGUGGAGCGGUGGAAUGCGUAGAUAUCAAGAGGAACGCCAGUGGAGAAAUCGGUGCACUGGGCUUGUCCUGACGCUGAGACACGAAAGCGUGGGGAGCGAACGGGAUUAGAUACCCCGGUAGUCCACGCCGUAAACGAUGUCUACUAGGUUGUGGUGGUUCUGACACCAGCACGGCCGAAGCAAAAGUGUUAAGUAGACCGCCUGGGGAGUACGGUCGCAAGGCUA
rnacentral:rRNA from 1 species